ACGGAAGGCAGCAGUAGGGAAUAUUGCACAAUGGGGGAAACCCUGAUGCAGCAACGCCACGUGUGGGAAGAAGCAUUUCGGUGUGUAAACCACUGUCGUGAGGGAAUAAUGCUCGGUCUCGGCCGAGUUGAAUGUACCUCGAAAGGAAGCACCGGCAAACUUCGUGCCAGCAGCCGCGGUAAUACGAGGGGUGCAAGCGUUGUUCGGAAUCACUGGGCGUAAAGGGAGCGUAGGCGGAGACGCAAGCAGUCUGUACAACACCGGGGCCCAACCCCGGACCUGCAGACUGGACUGUGUCUCGUGGAUAGUUCAGGGGCAGGCGGAAUUCCUGGUGUAGCGGUGGAAUGCGUAGAGAUCAGGAAGAACACCAAUGGCGAAGGCAGCCUGCUGGGGACUCAUCGACGCUGAGGCUCGAAAGUGCGGGUAGCAAACAGGAUUAGAUACCCUGGUA
rnacentral:rRNA from 1 species